rnacentral:rRNA from 1 species
GGUCAAGCUAAUAAGAGCAUAGGGUGAAUGCCUAGGCACCAGAAGGCGAUGAAGGACGCGAUAAGCUGCGAAAAGCUGCGGUAAGGCGCAAAUAGCCACCGACCCGCAGAUGU